rnacentral:lncRNA from 1 species
AAUCUUGGAGCCUUAAUUGCUACUUUUGAUGCAGUACAUAUUUAAUAAUUUCUAGUUAAUAUUGAUUUAUUUUUGGUCUUUAAUAAGUUUUUUAAAAUAUCUUUUACUUUUCUCGUUUCAUUUCUCUAAUCGUAUAACAAAUUGAAAAAUUAAGAAACUUCGAUUAAAAGAAACUGAAAUAAGAAUCACUAAAAUGACAAGUUAUAAAACGAGGCAGGAAAUUUCGAAAAUAUCAACUUAAAGUUGAGAAUCAAACGCAGAAUAAAUGCCGUGUAGAUCAAGGAAAUCAUAAAAGAGCUAAAGCCACAAUAGUACAAAGAACACUUGCCAAAUCGAUUAAGGAAGCAAAAUCAAAUGGUAGUAGUAUUCUUCUUCCAUUUGAAGCGUGUUUCUUCUCAAUCAUUUUUACUUUUCUUGGCCAAAUUGCUAACUCCAUUCACUAGAAACAGUGCCACGCUUCAUGGAAUGAUGGUGUUGCUUCAUUGCCUGUAAUUUUCUGCAAUUAGUGGCACUUAAAUUGGAUAUAUUAGAAUAAUAUAUCAUUUUAAAUAAGAUUUUUAAUUUAUUUUCACGUGGCUUACCUAGGUUAAUACAUCACUCGGGGAUCUGUUUGGUUUGUUAAAUUACAUGAUUACCGAUGUUGCGUUCCAUUCACGAUCGUUGGAUUGUUUUCACGAUGACGUACAAAAACGAAAGAAUAGCAUUGAGUUUUCCUAUUACGAUAACGAUAGUUAGGGGUUCCGAUUCUGUAAAAAAUACCAAACCUCCCCUUUAAUAAAAAAAAAAAAAUUUUAACACUCUAGCGGGAGAUAUUCAUUUGAAAAUAAGCGAGUAGCCCUUAUUAAAAUGUGUCAUGACCUAGCCGAUCUAUAGUGUUAUCACGACUUCUACACUCGUAACAUAACAUGGUUAGUAUUUAGCAAUUUUUUAAUUACUUGGUGUUUGUGCACCUAAAAUGUAAUAAAUAUUUUUAUUCCUAUUAAUAAUAUUUUUUUUGCAGAUAAAAACAAAGGUUAUUUAUUUAAUUACUAUCUUUUCUCAAUAUGGCAUACUCAUGUAAAUUGUUUGAUAUUUCCUAGAUUUUAUUUCUUUAUUAUUUUGUAAAAUGAAUUCCAACUCUAACCCUGGGGACCUGAGAAUCUUAUUAUAUUAUCCCUGUCCCUUGUUUGGUCUUUUCAGUGGGUGCAAGGACUGUUUUUGGCAUGGUCCAGUAUCCAUGGAACUAAUCAAAAUAUUCCUAACCUAUUUGACAAGUUCUGGUCACUUUUGAUUUUGGAGUACUAUCAGAAUAAUCUUUUUAAAAAUAGGGUAAUUUCAUUUUUUGCCCUGCACGUCCACUUUACAAUCCGUAACUAAUCCAAUUGUGUCGAUCAAUUUAUUGCACUUUAGGUAAGUGUCGAUGUGAUCUUCCGUCCAUUACUAUUCAAUAAGUCAGAAAUCGACCAGACCAUGUGGCCAAAUGAAAAGGCGGUUCAUUGCCAUUGAUUGAAUGACAAGUGGUCGGACGUAUCACAUUGACAUUUGACCUGAGUAUCAGGAGUUGAACUGAUACAAUCGAAAAUAAGAGUGCAUAAUAGAUUUUAGAGAAAGUAUAAAGGUGUAUGAAUUUUUACAAGGAGUGAGGUUUGGUGUUGUUAAAAGAUUGAUAUCUUGGUAGUAUGUGUACAAGCUAGGUGAUGCAUGCCAUGUACAUCCCAUUGUAGAAGUCCUUUAAAAACUGUCUCUAUGCUUUCCAAUCCUAUACUCCUAGAAUUACAAACAUGCAAGCACUAGUUAAGAUUAUAAUUUGAAUUUUUCUUAUUAUUCCUUUUUUUUAGGAACAUAUUAUUCCUCUUAUACAUACUAAAAUGCAGGCGCACACGACGCGUGUAGUUCAGGGGUGAAGGUACAUGAAGCCAUCGAAAGAUUUAUAAUUUUUUUAUGGGAUUUUUUCCGUAUGAACUAAACCCUAGUAAUGUGACGAUAAAAGGUAACUUAACUAAUAUGUGUACCAACUUCAUAAGAGUAUCCUAUACGAAUUCAAAAAAUGUGAGAAUAAAGGGUACUUAACUAUGAGAACUCUACGGUCCAAGAAUUUAAAUUAAGAAAAAAAAAAAUUAAAUUAAAAAUGAUGGUUUAGAUUCACGUACUUGAGUACGUGAAUCUAAACCAUUCAUUUUAAUUCUAAACAUUUUUUGGUUUCAAAUUCUGAGACUAGAACAAUGUUGCUACUUAACUAUUGUGUGAAUGAACUUCAAAAAUGUCUGCACCAAAUGGAUAUUAAAUAACAUAGAUUUUCUUGGUUCAUUCCUUUUAAUAGAUUGUCAAUUUCUUGAUUCUCAUGUUAUUGUAAUUUACAUGUAAUUUCUAAUUCUUAAAAUGUGAUUUUGGAAAAAUAAGAACAAUUAGGUCACACAAAAAGGACAACAUUUCAAUUUAGGGACUUGACACCCACUUGAUCCAGACAUCUUUGCUUUGUAUUUUUGUAUGGCAAUGGUUGGCUUCUUAGGUGAGAUAUAAUAAAAUGAAAAAUAGAAGGAAAAAAAAUAAAGAGACAAAUUACGAAAAUUACGGUCAUUGCGGCCAAUUGAUCGCGAUCUCGAACCCCUUAAAUCUCAGCCGUUCACUCUGAUGAUAAGGCUAGAUGGAAGGUAGGGUGACCAUACUCACACACAAAAAAGAAUAAUAAUAAACAAAUAAACAAAUAUCUGAAAAAUCUGAAAAAGACAAUGACAUGAAACGUGUCUUGAUUUUCAUUUAAAUUUUCAUUUGGCAUUCAUGUAGUCCUCAUUUGAUGUCUAUUAAGGGACUAAGGUGUCAUAUUGUAGAAUUCAGGAACAAAGGAAAGUAGGGUGGCACUGUCUUCUAGGAUUUGCUAGUUUACUUCCCCCACUACUCCUCAUAACUCCAAUCCAACCACUCUAAAAUCUCUAUUUUACCCUUCAAGGACUCCGAUAUGGCCCCACCGGAGAUACCAGUCUUCACGAGAACUGAGAAGUUCUCUACAACGAAAAAACCAUUUACCCAGGGGGGAGCGGGCCUACGUGCUUUUCUAGGCCGGAAAUGGCGAUUUACUUGAAGGGGGGUGGUGGGAUGGCUAAGGGCUUGCGCAAGUAGAGUGGCGUACCCUCUUGUGGUGGCGAUCUUGCCUGAUUGCCUGAGGAGCACCGCGAGAUAUUGAGGUCUCAGGGCUGCAUUGGUGGAGAGAUUGAGCCCAUUUAACCCACCGCCAGAACCAAGUUCAAUGUGCCCAUUGCCUAUUAUGUGGGAUCAACUACUCCAAACUACGUAUAUGGAAUGUAAGUUAUUCAAUACUUAGUACUAUAAAACUUGUUAAACAUAAGCUAGCUUUUUGACUCACUUCAUUUGGUCUUGUUUUUCUAAAGCCUAGGUUCCUAUUGCCCCCUCUCCAUAUUCAUUCUCCCAAAAAGCAUAUAUUAGUGAAUACGCGGGUGGUGUGUAUCCAUCCAAUAUAGGAGUCACGUGGUCCUUUUGUUUAUGUUAUUCCCCAAAUAGUUGCAUGUUCCUCUAUUAUUGGUCAGGCGACAUAACGUGAAGUUGUGUUUCUGGCUCGCAUAAAGUCAAUGUUAGUUAUUUAUAGCUAAUGAAAUUCCAUCUUAUGUGGACAAAAACCAAGCAUCACGCGAGCCGGGUACUGGGGAGAAUGUUGUAGAAACCGACACGUAAUGAUGAAACUAAUAUUUGUGAACUGAUGUGUGAUAGAAAUAGAGUUUGGAAUAGGAAGAAUUGGAUUUGUAAGUAAUAAAUGUAAAGCUUUUGAUCUUAAUCGAACUACAAGAAUAUAAUAUCGCAAGUGUCUUUGUCUUUUGUCCUAAUACACUCGCAACCACGUAAACAUUGUUAGUGUAGCAUUUCUCAAAGAACUUUUAACAUGGUACUAUGUUUCAUGGGUAUGUACACUUAACAGUUGGAGUACGACAAGAUGGUAUACCUGGACGCGGACAUCCAAGUGUACGAAAACAUCGCCACCUCCUGACGCGCCAGACGGCUACUUAUACGCGGGUGAUGAAGCUUCUGCGAGAAGACUUGGAGCCACUCGCCUCAGUACUCUGUAGGCUACUGCCAACCUAGUGCCCUACAAGUCGCGUGGCCCGCCGAGAUGGGCUCGCCUCCGCCCACUCACUUCAUGCCGCAGGUUUGUGUUCGAGCCGAGCAAAAUUGACCUAUGAGAGCCUCUUCGAGACCUCCAGAUCACUGCUCCAACCCCUUUGCUGAGCAAGUAAGGUGUUUUUUUAGAGACUUUCACAGUGAGUUAUAAAUGUAAAUAUCCAUAAACGGCAUGGGAGUAUGUAAAAUUAUAUAUAUAUAUAUAUUCGGACAAUGUUCAUUAGCAAAAACAGUAAAAUAAUACUUAGCCCUUUGGUAUGUAUUUUGGCAAAUGAUUUUUAUGCUUGCUUUUUUCUAGCAAAACACUUAAUAAGUUGUAUUGUUACAAUUCAACUUUUAGAGUAAACAACCUAAACUACCCUUUUAGGAGGGUAAAAAAAAAAAAUGUAAAGGUAUGAGGACAGAAUUAAAUUAAGUAAUUGCCCCCCCCCCCCCAAAAUGUUGAUGACUUUAAUCGUUAAUUUUGAAGUAAUAGAAACAAUUAGUGAAAUGGUUAAAAGUGGAAGUAAAAAUUAUCCCCGUAUCUUUUUUAAGCGAUAAAAUUAAUGCAUUACAAUUCUAUUAAAGGCACUUACUUUCUAUGCUUUUAGUUUUAUGUGUACAUCAAAUUUAAAAAGACUGUGCCACUCUAUCACUGGAGAGAAGCUAAUCUAUGGGCUAUAAUUAAUACCAUAAGGCAUGCAUGCAUAUACAAACUAGGGCUGUCCAAAAACCGACCGACCGACCUAAAAAAAGCUUAGGGUGAGGUUUAAUAGCGGUCGGGUGGUCGGUCGGGUUAAAAAAAUAAACCCGAAAAAAGUCGGGUCGGUGGAGGUGAAGUGAAAGUUUUAAUCGGUGACCGACCCGAUUCACAGAAAAGUAAUAUAAUUCUUUAUUUUUUUCAAAUUUAUGUA